AUCUACUGUGUCCCUUCAUGACGUGACUCUGCUGAAUGAAUGAAGAGGUCGUGGUGACUUUUGUAGUAAUGAUCACUGCUGGAGUUGGAGAAGAUUUUGGCUUCGAAGCAGAGAUCCACAGUUAUUCCCAGAAAUGAGCAAGAGGCUGCAGCAUGACACCUAAGAAGAGGACAUCCUAGACUGCUGCUGUGCAUGAUGAGGAGAGGAAGGUCUGCAGGUACCACAGAAUUCGGUGUAGGUGAAAGGUCCAUGAACACCACUUCUCAGAAACUUGAAUGCCAGAAUCUUGAGAAACAUUUGAACUUUGGCUGACUCCAGGCUUCAGUUGCAGCCAUUUCAAGGCACAGCAGUCAAAGAAACCUGAUGUUGUGGUCAGUUGAUGCACCUCUCUGAAGCAGCAGACUCAUCUCACUUCAGAACUGUUCUGAAAAUAAGAUACAGCCAUUCCUCCUUCCCUCAAGAAUAGUUAAGGGUAAAACUUUUAGUUUGUGCUUUGUUUGAAUGAGAUUUGGAUAUAA